GCUGGAAUGCCCUGUAACCGAAAGUUCCGACGCCUUAGGAUGGAUCUGCGGCCGAUUAGGUUGUUGUCGGGGUAACGGCCCAACAAGCCGAUAAUCGGUACGGGUUGUGGGAGCAAGAGCCCGGAGUUGGAUUCUGAGACACGAAUCCAGGCCCUACGGGGCGCAGCAGGCGCGAAAACUUUACAAUGCGGGCAACCGUGAUAAGGGAACCUCGAGUGCCUGUAUAUGCAGGCUGUCCAGGUGUCUAAAACACACCUGAAGAAAGGGCCGGGCAAGACCGGUGCCAGCCGCCGCGGUAAUACCGGCGGCUCGAGUGGUGGCCGCUUUUAUUGGGCUUAAAGCGUUCGUAGCUGGGUCGUUAAGUCUCUUGGGAAAUCCGGCAGCUUAACUGUCGGGCGUCUAAGGGAUACUGGCGAUCUUGGAACCGGGAGAGGUGAGGGGUACUUCAGGGGUAGGAGUGAAAUCCUGUAAUCCUUGAGGGACCACCUGUGGCGAAGGCGCCUCACCAGAACGGCUUCGACAGUGAGGGACGAAAGCUGGGGGAGCAAACCGGAUUAGAUACCCGGGUAGUCCCAGCCGUAAACGAUGUGCGUUAGGUGUAUCGACGACCACGAGUCGUCGAGGUGCCGAAGGGAAACCGUGAAACGUACCGCCUGGGAAGUACGGUCGCAAGGCUGAAACUUAAAGGAAUUGGCGGGGGAGCACCACAACAGGUGGAGCCUGCGGUUUAAUUGGACUCAACGCCGGGAAGCUCACCGGAUAAGACAGCUGAAUGAUUGCCGGGCUGAAGACUCUGCAUGACUAGCUGAGAGGAGGUGCAUGGCCGUCGUCAGUUCGUACUGUGAAGCAUCCUGUUAAGUCAGGCAACGAGCGAGACCCACGCCAACAGUUGCCAGCAUGAUCUCCGGAUUGAUGGGGACACUGUUGGGGACCGCCUCUGCUAAAGAGGAAGAAGGAAUGGGGCAACGGUAGGUCAGCAUGCCCCG
rnacentral:rRNA from 1 species